UCAUGCUUCGGAAUUUCCGGAAUCUUGGGCAGCUCGGGCUUUGGAAACUCAGGUAACUUGGGAAUCUCUAGUUUAGGGUGCUCCGGAAACUUUGGAACUUCGAAUUUUGGUAGCUCCGGGUGAGGUAGCUCAGGCAAUUUUGGCAGCUCAGGAAAUUUUGGUAGCUCCGGGUGAGGUAGUUCGGGCAAUUUUGGUAUCUCCAUGUGAGGUAGUUCAGGCAGUUUGGGUAUUUCCGGUUUAGGAAUCUCCUCCACUAACCGGCGAGCUCCAACUGAAGCCGGAUAAGUGAGUAAUGAAGUA
rnacentral:lncRNA from 1 species